rnacentral:ncRNA from 2 species
UACCAUGCCCAGCAAGCUGGUGGCUUCUUUACUUAUAGUACGGAAGCCUGAAAAGGGAAUCUGGUGAGAACCCAGAACUGACGCGCAGCGGUAUAAGAGAACGACCCCCAAUAGACACUGCUUUGAGGAAUAAAGUGGGAAGUCGGGGCAGUAGGCUUUAGCUCUUGAGUCCGAAUACCUGCCAGCGGCUAAGCAAAUGA